AUUGAACGCUGGCGGCAGGCCUAACACAUGCAAGUCGAGCGAGCGGCGGACGGGUGAGUAAUGUCUGGGAAACUGCCCGAUGGAGGGGGAUAACUACUGGAAACGGUAGCUAAUACCGCAUACCAUCGGAUGUGCCCAGAUGGGAUUAGCUUGUAGGUGAGGUAACGGCUCACCUAGGCGACGAUCCCUAGCUGGUCUGAUAGGAUGACCAGCCACACUGGAACUGAGACACGGUCCAGGCUCGUACGGGAGGCAGCAGUGGGGAUGAGUGCACAAUGGGCGCAAGCCUGAGGCAGCCAGGCCGCGGGUAUGAAGAAGGCGUUCGGGUUGUAAAGUACUUUCAGCGGGGAGGCGUUACCCGCAGAAGAAGCACCGGCUAACUCCGUGCCAGCCGCCGCGGUAAUAC
rnacentral:rRNA from 1 species